CACCUGGCGGUCCAGUGGCGAACACUCUGCACUCCCAAUGCAGAGGGCCCAGGUUCGAUCCCUGGUCAGGGAA
rnacentral:tRNA from 1 species